GCGGGUGUGGCGAAAUUGGUAGACGCGCUAGAUUUAGGUUCUAGUGACCUUUGGUCGUGGGGGUUCAAGUCCCUCCACCCGCA